AAGCCAUGAUGUGGGCACUGAUUUGUUUAGCUUCUAAACCUGUCCCAAUCUUCUCCAAAGAUCUCGUUGGAAUGCUCAGUGAAGCUUGAAAUCUAGUUUCUUAGCUU
rfam:Eutrema salsugineum unplaced genomic scaffold scaffold_18, whole genome shotgun sequence.